CAAGAGACGCAGGGAGACCGAGGGGAAACAACACAGACAAACCAGCAACUACCAUAACAGAAGACACAACUUAAAUACACCCAGAGAACACAGGGAGAUUACACACAGGUGGAGAACACAGGUGACACUGAUAAACAUAACGAGACAGGGCAGGAGUGAACACAACAUUACGCAUACUGACGAGAGACUGUCAAAGUAAAACAGGAAGUACACAGAGAGAACACAGGGAGAUUACACACAGGUGGAGAACACAGGUGACACUGAUAAACAUAACGAGACAGGGCAGGAGUGAACACAACAUUACGCAUACUGACGAGAGACUGUCAAAGUAAAACAGGAAGUACACAGAGGUUCAGACAGGAGGGGAGAGAGUACGGGGAGAACACAGACAUAACAGGCUGGGGGAAACAUGGAAUAAACACAAAGAGAGACGAGAGCUCAUAAAUACACAGAGGGGCACAAGGGGGUAAGAGUCACAAAGGGAAAAAACACUUAGGGAACACCACAACAGGACACCUCAGAAAACCGGGCCUAAAUAAGGAGCGAAAAUACAAGGAACCAAGAAUACUGGGCCAACAUGGCCCAGGACCAUGACAGAACUGAAUCCUGUUUAGAAGAUACAAUGCCGGUUUUUCAAAGCUGUGAAUAAAUCUUAGAGGGAAAAUUAGUGAGGGUUGAAGGAGUAGAACAGGUUUGAUUUUUUUGAUCUUUAGAAGAAGUGGUUAUAAUGUAGGCGUACACAUACAGAUAUUACAUAGGUUUAUCUUUAGGAUAGAGGGGAGAGCUUGUAAAUAGAAAUGAUUUUUAUACAUAUUGCAUUUUGUGCUUUUAAAGGAGUUGUGGCUCAAAUUUGUCUCUGGAGGGUCACGAGCCUUUGGCUAGCGCUAUGAUUAGCCAAUCUACUGUGAGGAUAAUAUGAGUUCAUGAAGGAUUGCACACGCUUACAGACACAGAGUUAAGAAACACACAUGACAGUAUUGAUUCCAGGCAACAGGCCUCAAAUUCAUUUAGCUUUUAACUGAACUUAAAGAAGGACCAAAGAGGAAGGAAAGCAUAUAUUUUGGUUAAGUCUGAUAAAGUAGAAUUAGGAGGUAUUGUUACAUUAAAGGGAGCAAAUGAAAUUAAAAGGCUAUACCAAAAUGGGUUAUAACAUAGGAAAUGUGAGGUUAAAAUGAAGUUAACACAUAGGAAUUGUUUCAAGGCAGCAUUUAGCUAUGAUGAAAUGUAUACAGGAGUAAUUGCUUAUAUGCUUAAACUUAAUUGAUUAAAGUGGUUGUUUUCUUUUGGAGUAGAGGAACUUGCAGCAGCGACAAUUUGUGCACAGGAUGUUGAUGAUCAGAUAAGGGAAAAAUAGAGCGAGCAACCGGACGUAAAAGCAGGGCUUAAAGAGUUUUAAGGGGAUGAGUAACGUUGAAGAAUAUAUAUAAAUAUAAGUCAAUAAGUUAAGAAGAUAAUUAGGAUCAGGCUUUUGAUUAAAGAGUCCCAGAUAGGAUAAGUUAGGGAGGUGCAGGAAAAGGUGUUUUGUUUCCUUUGCAGAAGAUCUCGGUGACCACAGGAGGGACGAGGAUCCUGGAGAUCUCGAGGUCCGAGACCACCAGAGAGGGUCUGAGCGAGGACACAAUGUAUUGCGACCUCUGGUGUUCCAGAGGUCGAGAGAGGGAGUGUGGAGCAGGGAAAUUAUUUUACUGCUAUUGUUAAAUAAUUGUCAUCAUUACCAUUGCAUUAAUAAUAUAAUCUGGAGUUUAUAUUGCAUUCAGAUGUUUAAACAGUGUGUGUCUUUCAGAGAGACUAAGUUGCAGGCUGACAGGAAGUUGCAGGUUUGCAGAGUGUGCCUUUUGCAGAACUGAAACCGAAAGCAGAGUCUAAGUGCAGGUUAUUUUGAGGAGCAUUUGAGGACGAGACACAGACAGUUAAGAGGUGACACAAAGAGCAUGUGAGGUCAACACAUACACACAUAUUAGUUAGACUUAUUUAGAGGAGAGAUCAGUUAUGUCUAGACAAGAAAGAGGAACAAUUCACUUUGAGACAAGAACGGAAAGUACCAAGCCAUGAAAAUAGAAGAUGAUUUUCUGGGUGAAAAGUCAUGAUGAUGUUGAUCUGAUCUAUGUAUAAAAUGUACCGGUGACGCAUGAAGGGGCGUCAGUAAACAAACCCUGAUGCUAUAAAAUAUCUGUUCAUGCUUUGAUUAAGUCGAGGACUACUGGCUGUCUGCGUACAGAGUGUCUUCCCACACGUGUGUUCAUUAAAAUCAUUGUUUGACC
ensembl:lncRNA